rnacentral:lncRNA from 1 species
CGUCUCGCCCGCCAGAUACGUCGCGUAGACCUCCAUGGGCAGGAUGCCCACGGGCGCAACGGCGGCCUGUGCGCACUGCGCCGGUAUGUCGUCGCCGCGCGCCGCGACGGCCUCGGCGCUGAGGCGCUCUACGGUUUCAUUGAUUGUGGCGACGGCCAGAUCAACAAAGGCGUCCGAUGUGAGCACAUCAUAGAGCGAUUCGGCUGUGCCUGGAGCGCGUCCCGCACUCGGGCGCUCGUUCCCGCCGUAGACGUCACCGGCCAUGAUGGCCGAGAGCAGAGGUUGCCAGAGGCCGACCUCGGCCAGGCGCAGGGCGUCGAUGGGCGGACCAGGCAAUCGCGCGACCCAGCGCGUGCGAGGCUCGGCGUCGGUGUUGGUCUCGGUCGCUACCUGUUCGUCAAAUUCGAUCGAGGGCGGCGGUCCAAACACGCGCACCGUGAGAGCGUCGACGGGUUCGCCCGUUUCAGCGGCACGUUCAUCGAUCUGGCGCGCCUCGUCAGCCGAGAAGACGGCGCCAUCGUCUGGCAGGCUGUCGACGCGCUCGCGUUCAGGCAGGCCCCACAUGCGCGCACGGUCUGGAACGUUCAUGAUGGCAAACAGGCGGCCGCCGUCGCACAACAACGAGUCGGCGUCGAGCACGGCAUCGGUGGUGACAUCGGCAUCGCCUCGUACGGCAUCGGCCACCGUCGAGGCGGCGCCAAGCGCGGCGACGGUGCCCUCUGGCAGGGUGCGCACGGUCGCCGGUGCGGUUGUCGCCCACAAAAGGAGAUCGUUGCGUGGCACCCAAUCGUAGGCCAUUGCCGCGAGGGGCGUCGGCCAUGGGCGGCCGUCUUCCAUGAGAGGCAACGCUUCGACGUCCCAGCGGCUCUCGGUGGCGCCUUGUUCGUCUCCAAACAUGGCGCCGUACCGACCGACCGGGUACAUGGCAGCGAGGCUCGGCGGCGCAUCGCGCUCCCCGAUGCGCCCGUCAUGUUGGAGCGACGAAAAGGCGGCCACCCAGCGCCACAGCGCACAGCGCACGACGUCGCUGUCGGGCUCGUAGAGUCGCGGCAGGUCGAGCAGAUUGAUCUGCUGCCGCACGAGCCCUUCGGUCACUGGUACCGACGUUGUAGCGCACAGGUCGCGAAGGCGCGGGUCGGCAUUGCACACGAUGGACGCGGUCCGCGGGUGUGUCGCCAGGACACCGAGCAGCGCCUCAAGGGUCGCCGCGAGACCGCCGCCAUCGUUCUCUCGUUCCUGCUCGUUGAAAUAGUCGUCGCCGUCGCUCGCCGGUGGUCGUUGUCUUUUGGGGGAGCGAGCGCCUCGUGGCGCAUAGCGCUCGAUGGCACCUUCCAUCAAUGUCGAUCUCGUUGCCGGCGUCUUUGGACUUUUUCUUUUUUUUUCCUUUUUCGUCGUUAUUACGAAUAAAGGAGCGAAUCGUCG